rnacentral:rRNA from 1 species
AGCGAACGCUGGCGGCAGGCUUAACACAUGCAAGUCGAACGGGCACUUCGGUGCUAGUGGCAGACGGGUGAGUAACACGUGGGAACGUACCUUUCGGUUCGGAAUAAUACAGGGAAACUUGUACUAAUACCGGAUACGCCCUUUGGGGGAAAGAUUUAUCGCCGAUUGAUCGGCCCGCGUCUGAUUAGCUAGUUGGUGAGGUAAUGGCUCACCAAGGCGACGAUCAGUAGCUGGUCUGAGAGGAUGAUCAGCCACACUGGGACUGAGACACGGCCCAGACUCCUACGGGAGGCAGCAGUGGGGAAUAUUGGACAAUGGGCGCAAGCCUGAUCCAGCCAUGCCGCGUGAGUGAUGAAGGCCUUAGGGUUGUAAAGCUCUUUUGUCCGGGAAGAUAAUGACUGUACCGGAAGAAUAAGCCCCGGCUAACUUCGUGCCAGCAGCCGCGGUAA